GAUGAACGCUGGCGGCGUGCUUAACACAUGCAAGUCGAACGGAAAGGCCGAAGCUUGCUUCGGUACUCGAGUGGCGAACGGGUGAGUAACACGUGGGUGAUCUGCCCUGUACUUCGGGAUAAGCUUGGGAAACUGGGUCUAAUACCGGAUAUGACGAUCUCUUGGAUGGGGUUGUGGAAAGCUUUUGCGGUAUGGGAUGAGCUCGCGGCCUAUCAGCUUGUUGGUGGGGUAAUGGCCUACCAAGGCGUCGACGGGUAGCCGGCCUGAGAGGGGGUACGGCAACAUGGGAGAAGAUAUACGGCCCAACCCCCCGGGGGGGGAGGGAGGGGGAAAGAUGGAACACUGGGCACAGGCCUGAUGCCGGGCCCCGGUGUGGGGAAUGCGGCCCUGGGGUUUGAAAACUCUUGUCGCACCCGAAAAGCUUUUGUGGGGAGGUUGGGUGGAAGAGAGACCCGGACAACCUCCGUC
rnacentral:rRNA from 1 species